UGUAGGCCUGGAUUUUCAUGCUGUCAUCACUGCUGGCGGUUUAGCUCCACUUCAGCUUCGCAUUGAGGGAGAUUCACUUGACAUUUGCUGCUUUUUACUGCCCUUUACCCCAGGACAAAAGGUGGACACUCUUCCAAGCGACACCACCGCUCUAGUCGGGGUCAAGCUCACCACCGGAGCCCAUCUGCGUCUCCAGGACACCACUCGCACACGUCCAACAGGAAGAACGAGGAGUCUCGGAGCAAAGCCAACAUCAGACAGCGCAGCAGCUCCUGGAGCAGCGGCCGCUCAUCCUCACGCUCCGCCUCCAAAGACAAAGGCCCCAGCAAGGCCAAGUCCCCACACAGCCGACAGAACAACUCCAGAGAGAGGGACAGUCCUUACCACUCUGACACAGACAGCCGAGCUCGCCGUCGCUCACGCAGCUACUCACCCAUCCGCAAGAGAAGAAGAGAUUCACCCAGCUUCAUGGAGGCUCGCAGGAUCACCAGCGCUCGAAAGAGGCCCAUCCCGUACUACAGGCCCAGUCCUUCAUCAUCCAGCUACGACAGCAGCCCGUCUCGGUCCAGCCGCAGCCGAAGCCACAGCAGCUACAGCCGCAGCAGGAGCCACAGCCGGAGCUACAGCAGAAGCCGGAGCCGGAGCUGGAGUCGAAGCCGAAGCCGCAGCCAGAGCAGGAGCUGGAGCCGCAGCAGGAGCCGCUCCCGCAGCCACCACAGCUAUUACAGCCGCAGCAGCUACAACAGCCCGGGCUUCUGACCGCCACGACCUGUACGGGACAGGAAACAGACAAACAAAGCAGAAGCGCUGGUAAACCUACUGCACUCCGGUCACGUGGCUGCACUGCUCUACAGUCCAGGGUCCAAACUCCUCCAUCCUGGACCAGUAUAUCUCUCACACAGAGCCUGGAUCAAAGAGGAGAAAUGUAUUUUUAAUAUAGCACAUUAUGGAAUUGGCUGUCACUGUUCAUGACUUCACAUAUAUAAGGUAUUCAAGGAAAAGGCUUUCCAACUACAUGAAUUGGCUGAGCCCAAAGAACAAAUCUCUCUGUAUGUUAGCACUUUGUUUCUCAUCUUCCACAAAGCAACCAAAAAUCAAUUCAUAACAACUAUUUACUGUAUAAAUAGAAUAUAAACAUAUAUAUAUAUAUCCUAGAAAGAGGAGCAGAGUAGAUGAUAAAAAAAGAGGACACAUCAAAAGAAAACAGCUUACUGUACAUUUCACUCUCUCUUCCCUCCUGACCAUGUACUCCUCCCACAAAGACUUCCAGUUCAUCAAAGCACACAGAUCAACAAACCUGAGAACAAAAGAGGAACAAAUUAGGCAGCAAAAACAGACAAGGAACUUUUUUUAUGAUGAAAACUGUAUUGUAUAGGUUCAUCUGUAUAGAUGUGAACUCCUACGUUCUGGCUUUGUAAACUAUGCACUGUAUAUUCCAUAUAGUUUGAGGAGGUUUGUUUAGCAUGAAGCAUCAGGAGAGAACCUGAUGAAGAUGAAGGGU
rnacentral:lncRNA from 1 species